rnacentral:rRNA from 1 species
GAUGAACGCUGGCGGCGUGCCUAAUACAUGCAAGUCGAGCGAACAGACGAGGAGCUUGCUCCUCUGACGUUAGCGGCGGACGGGUGAGUAACACGUGGAUAACCUACCUAUAAGACUGGGAUAACUUCGGGAAACCGGAGCUAAUACCGGAUAAUAUAUUGAACCGCAUGGUUCAAUAGUGAAAGACGGUUUUGCUGUCACUUAUAGAUGGAUCCGCGCCGCAUUAGCUAGUUGGUAAGGUAACGGCUUACCAAGGCAACGAUGCGUAGCCGACCUGAGAGGGUGAUCGGCCACACUGGAACUGAGACACGGUCCAGACUCCUACGGGAGGCAGCAGUAGGGAAUCUUCCGCAAUGGGCGAAAGCCUGACGGGGCAACGCCGCGUGAGUGAUGAAGGUCGUCGGAUCGUAAAACUCUGUUAUUAGGGAAGAACAAAUGUGUAAGUAACUAUGCACGUCUUGACGGUACCUAAUCAGAAAGCCACGGCUAACUACGUGC